AGGACAACGUGGUGACUCCGUAAAACAUCUCAAUGUUGGUCUGAGGACAUCACGAGGAGCUUCAAAGUCACUGGACUUCUGUAGGACAGUAUGGUGACCCCACAGAACAUCUCCAGGAGGUGCUGAGGUGAUCACAAGGGGCUCCAAAGUCACUGGAGGUCUGUAGGACACCGUGGUGACUCCAUAGAACAUCUCAAAGUUGGACUGAGGUGAUUGUGAGGAGCUUCAAAGUCACUGGAGGUCUGUAGGAGAACAUGGUGACCCCAUAGAACAUCUCAGAGUUGGACUGAGGUUGUCAGGAGGGGUUCCAGAGUCCCUGGAGGUGUGUAGGACACUGUGGUGACUCCAUGAAACAUCUCAAAGUUGGACUGAGGUGGUUGUGAGGGCCACCAAAGUCACUAGAGGUCUGUAGAACACUGUGGUGACUCCGUAAAACAUCUCAAAGUUGGACUGAGGACAUCAUGAAGAGCUUCAAAGUCACUGGAGGUCUGUAGGACAGUAUGGUGACCCCAUAGAACAUCUCAGAGUUGGACUGAGGUUGUCAGGAGGGGUUCCAGAGUCACUGGAGGUCUGUAGGACACUGUGGUGACUCCAUAAAACAUCUCAAAGUUGGACUCAUGUCCAGGAGGUGCUGAGGUUAUCACAAGGGGCUCCAAAGUCAUUGGAGGUCUGUAGGAGAACAUGGUGACCCCAUAGAACAUCUCAAAGAGGUUCUGAGGUUGUCAGGAGGGGUUCCAGAGUCACUGGAGGUCUGUAGGACACUGUGGUGACUCCAUGAAACAUCUCAAAGUUGGUCUGAGGACAUCACAAGGAGCUUCAAAGUCACUGGAGGUCUGUAGGAGAACAUGGUGACCCCAUAGAACAUCUCAAAGAGGUUCUGAGGUUAUCACAGAGGGGCUCCAAAGUCACUGGAGGUCUGUAGGACACCGUGGUGACCCCAUAGAACAUCUCAAAGUUGGACUCAUGUCCAGGAGGUGCUGAGGUUAUCACAAGAGGCUCCAAAGUCACUGGAGGUCUGUAGGACACUGUGGUGACUCCAUAAAACAUCUCAGAGUUGGACUGAGGUUGUCAGGAGGGGUUCCAGAGUCACUGGAGGUCUGUAGGAGAACAUGGUGACCCCAUAGAACAUCUCAAAGAGGUUCUGAGGUUAUCACAAGGGGCUCCAAAGUCACUGGAGGUGUGUAGGACACUGUGGUGACUCCAUGAAACAUCUCAAAGUUGGACUGAGGUGAUUGUGAGGGCCUCCAAAGUCACUGGAGGUCUGUAGGAGAACAUGGUGACCCCAUAGAACAUCUCAGAGAGGUUCUGAGGUUGUCAGGAGGGGCUCCAGAGUCACUGGAGGUCUGUAGGACACUGUGGUGACUCCAUAAAACAUCUCAAAGUUGGACUGAGGUGAUUGUGAGGGGCUCCAAAGUCACUGGAGGUCUGUAGGAGAACAUGGUGACCCCAUAGAACAUCUCAGAGAGGUUCUGAGGUUAUCACAAGGGGCUCCAAAGUCACUGGAGGUCUGUAGGACACUGUGGUGACUCCAUAAAACAUCUCAAAGUUGGUCUGAGGACAUCACGAGGAGCUUCCAAGUCACUUUCAGUCUGUAGGACAGUAUGGUGACCCCAUAGAACAUCUCAAAGAGGU